GGAAGGAUGCCGGAGUGGUUGAACGGGGCGGUCUCGAAAACCGUUGGGCGUUUAUAGCGUCCCCAGGGUUCGAAUCCCUGUCCUUCCGCCA
rnacentral:tRNA from 1 species